UACGUAGGAGGCAAGCGUUGUCCGGAAUUACUGGGUGUAAAGCGCGUGUAGGUGGGAGGCCAAGUCUGUGGUGAAAUCGCCCGGCUCAACUGGGCGCAGUCCAUGGAAACUGGUCACCUGGAGGACGGUAGAGGCGAGUGGAAUUCCCGGUGUAGUGGUGAAAUGCGUAGAGAUCGGGAGGAACACCAGUGGCGAAGGCGGCUCACUGGCCCGGUACUGACGCUGAGGUGCGAAAGCGUGGGGAGCAACAGG
rnacentral:rRNA from 1 species